rnacentral:rRNA from 1 species
GAUGAACGCCGGCGGUGUGCCUAAUACAUGCAAGUCGAACGCGUUGGCCCAACUGAUUGAACGUGCUUGCACGGACUUGACGUUGGUUUACCAGCGAGUGGCGGACGGGUGAGUAACACGUAGGUAACCUGCCCCAAAGAGGGGGAUAACGGCUGGAAACGGUCGCUAAUACCGCAUGAAAUGUUCGGAUGGCAUCGUCUGAACAUCAAAGAUUUAUCGCUGAAAGAUGGGCUCGCGUCUGAUUAGCUAGUUGGUGAGGUAACGGCUCACCAAGGCGACGAUCAGUAGCCGGUCUGAGAGGAUGAACGGCCACAUUGGGACUGAGAUACGGCCCAG